AGAGUUUGAUCAUGGCUCAGGACGAACGCUGGCGGCGUGCCUAAUACAUGCAAGUCGAGCGAGCUUGCCUAGAUGAAUUUGGUGCUUGCACCAAAUGAAACUAGAUACAAGCGAGCGGCGGACGGGUGAGUAACACGUGGGUAACCUGCCCAAGAGACUGGGAUAACACCUGGAAACAGAUGCUAAUACCGGAUAACAACACUAGACGCAUGUCUAGAGUUUAAAAGAUGGUUCUGCUAUCACUCUUGGAUGGACCUGCGGUGCAUUAGCUAGUUUGGUAAGGUAACGGCUUACCAAGGCAAUGGUGCAUAGCCGAGUUGAGAGACUGAUCGGCCACAUUGGGACUGAGACACGGCCCAAACUCCUACGGGAGGCAGCAGUAGGGAAUCUUCCACAAUGGACGCAAGUCUGAUGGAGCAACGCCGCGUGAGUGAAGAAGGGUUUCGGSUUCGUAAAGCUCUUGUUGGUAGUGAAGAAAGAUAGAGGUAGUAACUGGCCUUUAUUUGACGGUAAUUACUUAGAAAGUCACGGCUAACUACGUGCCAGCAGCCGCGGUAAUACGUAGGUGGCAAGCGUUGUCCGGAUUUAUUGGGCGUAAAGCGAGUGCAGGCGGUUCAAUAAGUCUGAUGUGAAAGCCUUCGGCUCAACCGGAGAAUUGCAUCAGAAACUGUUGAACUUGAGUGCAGAAGAGGAGAGUGGAACUCCAUGUGUAGCGGUGGAAUGCGUAGCAUAUAUGGAAGAACACCAGUGGCGAAGGCGGCUCUCUGGUCUGCAACUGACGCUGAGGGCUCGAAAGCAUGGGGUAGCGAACAGGAUUUAGAUACCYGUGKUAGUCCAUGCCGUAAACGAUGAGUGCUAAGUGUUGGGAGGUUUCCGCCUCUCAGUGCUGCAGCUAACGCAUUAAGCACUCCGCCUGGGGAGUACGACCGCAAGGUUGAAACUCAAAGGAAUUGACGGGGGCCCGCACAAG
rnacentral:rRNA from 1 species